UUACGGCAAUAUCAUUUUGAAACAUUGGUUCCUGUAUGAUCACCAAAGUUAAGCAACACCGAGCCUGGUGAGUACCUAGAUGGGUGACCGCUUGAGAAUACCAGGUGCUGUAA